rnacentral:rRNA from 1 species
GAUGAACGCUAGCGGCAGGCCUAACACAUGCAAGUCGAGGGGCAUCGCGGUGCAGCAAUGCACUGGCGGCGACCGGCGUACGGGUGCGUAACGCGUAUGCAACCUGCCCCGCACCGGGGGAUAGCCCGCCGAAAGGCGGAUUAAUACCCCAUGGCCCCGGGGGCCCGCAUGGGCAUCCGGGUAAAGCCUUGGCGGUGCGGGAUGGGCAUGCGUGCCAUUAGCUGGCUGGUGGGGUAACGGCCCACCAGGGCAACGAUGGCUAGGGGGUCUGAGAGGAUGGUCCCCCACACUGGUACUGAGACACGGACCAGACUCCUACGGGAGGCAGCAGUGAGGAAUAUUGGUCAAUGGGCGGAGGCCUGAACCAGCCAUGCCGCGUGCGGGAUGAAGGCCCUACGGGUUGUAAACCGCUUUUCCCCGGGAAGAAUAACCCCGAUGAGUCGGGGAUGCCGGUACCGGGGGAAUAAGGAUCGGCUAACUCCGUGCCAGCAGCCGCGGUAAAGUCACGUCG